rnacentral:misc_RNA from 1 species
UUAUAAAAGAUCAUUUUUUCAUAUUAAACUUUCAUUAUCUUUUUUGUUAUUU